rnacentral:lncRNA from 1 species
UCGAAAAACGGGAGUCUCCGGGUCUGACUGAUCACGUUCUGGUGAAGGGUUAGGUGUUGAGUUCUGACUGGUUCUCCUUUCCAGGGCUUGAUUCGAAUUUCCUGGGUUGGCCAAGGGUUCUGAUUGGUUUGCAGGUGGUGGGUGAGAUCAGGGGAUUUCCAAAGGCUCUUUUCCCAAACCUUACAAAAUGGAGUAGCUUUGAUUCUUCAGGGCCAUGUUCAGUAAAGCUUUAACCCAAAUUUCUGUUGAUAGGCAGGGCUGUGUUCCCUCCCUGUUUGCUUGACCUGAGGCCAAAUAUUGAAAGCCUUCCUCAAUGCAAAGAAAUAGAGGAAAACAAUAGAAUGAGAAAAACUAGAGAUAUCUUCAAGAAAAUUAGAGAUACCAAGGG